rnacentral:rRNA from 1 species
CCUACGGGAGGCAGCAGUGGGGAAUUUUGGACAAUGGGCGCAAGCCUGAUCCAGCCAUGCCGCGUGUGUGAAGAAGGCCUUUUGGUUGUAAAGCACUUUAAGCGAGGAGGAGGCUACUAGUAUUAAUACUACUGGAUAGUGGACGUUACUCGCAGAAUAAGCACCGGCUAACUCUGUGCCAGCAGCCGCGGUAAUACAGAGGGUGCGAGCGUUAAUCGGAUUUACUGGGCGUAAAGCGUGCGUAGGCGGCUGAUUAAGUCGGAUGUGAAAUCCCUGAGCUUAACUUAGGAAUUGCAUUCGAUACUGGUCAGCUAGAGUAUGGGAGAGGAUGGUAGAAUUCCAGGUGUAGCGGUGAAAUGCGUAGAGAUCUGGAGGAAUACCGAUGGCGAAGGCAGCCAUCUGGCCUAAUACUGACGCUGAGGUACGAAAGCAUGGGGAGCAAACAGGAUUAGAUACCUUGGUAGUCCAUGCCGUAAACGAUGUCUACUAGCCGUUGGGGUCUUUGAGACUUUAGUGGCGCAGCUAACGCGAUAAGUAGACCGCCUGGGGAGUACGGUCGCAAGCUAAAACUCAAAGGAAUUGACGG